rnacentral:rRNA from 1 species
CACGUAGGGCGCGAGCGUUGUCCGGAAUUAUUGGGCGUAAAGAGCUCGUAGGCGGCCUGUUGCGUCCGCUGUGAAAGCCCGGGGCUUAACCCCGGGUCUGCAGUGGAUACGGGCAGGCUAGAGGUAGGUAGGGGAGAAUGGAAUUCCCGGUGUAGCGGUGAAAUGCGCAGAUAUCGGGAGGAACACCGGUGGCGAAGGCGGUUCUCUGGGCCGAUACUGACACUGAGAAGCGAAAGCGUGGGGAGCGAACAGG